rnacentral:rRNA from 1 species
UACGUAGGGGGCGAGCGUUGUCCGGAUUUACUGGGCGUAAAGAGCGCGUAGGCGGUUUGUUAAGUUGGCUGUGAAAGCCCCCGGCUUAACCGGGGAAAGUCAGCCGAUACUGGCAAGCUUGAGGACGGUAGAGGAAGGUGGAAUUCCUGGUGUAGUGGUGAAAUGCGUAGAGAUCAGGAGGAACACCGGUGGCGAAGGCGGCCUUCUGGGCCGUUCCUGACGCUGAGGCGCGAAAGCGUGGGGAG